GGCCGCCCUCCGCGCCCGAAACAGCGCUCGGGGACCUCCAACUUUGCACCCAAGAGAGGGGACAUACACAUCUAUAUAUAUGUGCAUGUGUGUAUCAGGCGGUUAACAAACCUUGGGGAGAAGGAUGUACUGCUGAUAGUGGACACAAAGAAUGCAGAAUUAUGGGCCACAGGACAUUUGGCAGAACUCCCAAGAUAAGGAAGAAACUAACAAAGCCAACUCAGCAAAUGUGCUGCAAUCAGCUCCGACCGGCAAAAGGUAAUUCUGGCUACAGGAGAUGGUGACCACUGACUCACAGCCCACCGACUCAAAAGAAAAGAAGGACUGAGCAUGUGGCCUAAUUAACAUGAGAAGAAAGGGAAUCAUUAACCAAUAGGAGGUAGAAUACUAACUAUAAGGGAACUAGGCAACUUGUAGCCAAUGAACAUUAAUGCCUUUCUUUGCUAAAAUAUAUAAAUAAUGAAAAGUUUUGGUGGUCGUUACUGGCUUUGUGGAUUUGCCAUCCCUUUCUGUGCAGAACUGUAAAUAAAUCAAAUACCUUGAC